UACGUAGGGUCCGAGCGUUGUCCGGAAUUAUUGGGCGUAAAGAGCUUGUAGGCGGUUUGUCGCGUCUGCUGUGAAAUUUCGGGGCUCAACCCCGAACUUGCAGUGGGUACGGGCAGACUAGAGUGUGGUAGGGGGAGACUGGAAUUCCUGGUGUAGCGGUGAAAUGCGCAGAUAUCAGGAGGAACACCGAUGGCGAAGGCAGGUCUCUGGGCCAUAACUGACGCUGAGAAGCGAAAGCAUGGGGAGCGAACAGG
rnacentral:rRNA from 1 species